rnacentral:rRNA from 1 species
GGGUGUGAUCAUACCAGCGUUAACGCACCGGAUCCCAUCAGAACUCCGUAGUUAAGCGCACUUGGGCUAGAGUAGUACUGGGAUGGGUGACCUCCCAGGAAGUCCUAGUGUUGCACCCU